rnacentral:rRNA from 1 species
UGAACGCUAGCUACAGGCUUAACACAUGCAAGUCGAGGGGCAGCAUGGUCUUAGCUUGCUAAGGCCGAUGGCGACCGGCGCACGGGUGAGUAACGCGUAUCCAACCUGCCGUCUACUCUUGGACAGCCUUCUGAAAGGAAGAUUAAUACAAGAUGGCAUCAUGAGUCCGCAUGUUCACAUGAUUAAAGGUAUUCCGGUAGACGAUGGGGAUGCGUUCCAUUAGAUAGUAGGCGGGGUAACGGCCCACCUAGUCUUCGAUGGAUAGGGGUUCUGAGAGGAAGGUCCCCCACAUUGGAACUGAGACACGGUCCAAACUCCUACGGGAGGCAGCAGUGAGGAAUAUUGGUCAAUGGGCGAGAGCCUGAACCAGCCAAGUAGCGUGAAGGAUGACUGCCCUAUGGGUUGUAAACUUCUUUUAUAAAGGAAUAAAGUCGGGUAUGCAUACCCGUUUGCAUGUACUUUAUGAAUAAGGAUCGGCUAACUCCGUGCCAGCAGCCGCGGUAAUACGGAGGAUCCGAGCGUUAUCCGGAUUUAUUGGGUUUAAAGGGAGCGUAGAUGGAUGUUUAAGUCAGUUGUGAAAGUUUGCGGCUCAACCGUAAAAUUGCAGUUGAUACUGGAUAUCUUGAGUGCAGUUGAGGCAGGCGGAAUUCGUGGUGUAGCGGUGAAAUGCUUAGAUAUCACGAAGAACUCCGAUUGCGAAGGCAGCCUGCUAAGCUGCAACUGACAUUGAGGCUCGAAAGUGUGGGUAUCAAACAGGAUUAGAUACCCUGGUAGUCCACACGGUAAACGAUGAAUACUCGCUGUUUGCGAUAUACUGCAAGCGGCCAAGCGAAAGCGUUAAGUAUUCCACCUGGGGAGUACGCCGGCAACGGUGAAACUCAAAGGAAUUGACGGGGGCCCGCACAAGCGGAGGAACAUGUGGUUUAAUUCGAUGAUACGCGAGGAACCUUACCCGGGCUUAAAUUGCAGAUGAAUUACGGUGAAAGCCGUAAGCCGCAAGGCAUCUGUGAAGGUGCUGCAUGGUUGUCGUCAGCUCGUGCCGUGAGGUGUCGGCUUAAGUGCCAUAACGAGCGCAACCCUUGUUGUCAGUUACUAACAGGUUCCGCUGAGGACUCUGACAAGACUGCCAUCGUAAGAUGUGAGGAAGGUGGGGAUGACGUCAAAUCAGCACGGCCCUUACGUCCGGGGCUACACACGUGUUACAAUGGGGGGUACAGAGGGCCGCUACCACGCGAGUGGAUGCCAAUCCCCAAAACCUCUCUCAGUUCGGACUGGAGUCUGCAACCCGACUCCACGAAGCUGGAUUCGCUAGUAAUCGCGCAUCAGCCACGGCGCGGUGAAUACGUUCCCGGGCCUUGUACACACCGCCCGUCAAGCCAUGGGAGCCGGGGGUACCUGAAGUGCGUAACCGCGAGGAGCGCCCUAGGGUAAAACUGGUGACUGGGGCUAA